UACAGAGGUCUCGAGCGUUGUUCGGAUUUAUUGGGCGUAAAGGGUGCGUAGGCGGCGCGGUAAGUCGGGUGUGAAAUCUCGGAGCUUAACUCCGAAACUGCAUUCGAUACUGCCGUGCUUGAGGACUGGAGAGGAGACUGGAAUUUACGGUGUAGCAGUGAAAUGCGUAGAGAUCGUAAGGAAGACCAGUGGCGAAGGCGGGUCUCUGGACAGUUCCUGACACUGAGGCACGAAGGCCAGGGGAGCAAACGGG
rnacentral:rRNA from 1 species